AGCUCAGAGGGUGAGCUGGUGGAGGAAAGAAACUGUGUGAAAGGUGCUAUCUGCUGCAUGCCUGUGUUGUGGCUUGCUCUGUUUGGGAAACAGGGUUGGAGCACCCUGCUGAUGCUACUUGCCCAGCACUGAUGGACCAGAACAGGGCUGAUUUUUCUGUGAAAUAGACACACAAGCUGGAGAGAGGAGGAGGCGUUGUCCCCCUGAAAGCAGCCAGUUGCAGACUCCUUGCAGAUAUUGUAGUACAGUCUUCGCCCCGGCAGACGCAAUUAACAGCAGACUGAUGGACUAAAUAUCUCCCAGCAAGGAAGACAUUUCCCUUGGCAGCAAGACCAUGUGAAAACCGUUUGGACUGUUCUGUUCAAAUAAGGCAGAGUGUAGCAACUAGAGAGAAAUCUUGGAGCAUUCUCCUGCUCUGGAAAAUAUUCUGCCCUCUUUGAAGUUGCUAGAUUUCUCUAAAAUGUUGAAUUGCGAGGGUUGAGCUGGUGACUGGUGUGUAAAGGUGAAGAAUAAAGUUCCUUACAACAAGAGCAAGACCUGCCAGCCCUCCUCUCCGGAAGAAAAUCCUUCAGACAAACCCCUCUGUCCCGGGAUGUGGGAAGAUAAGAUGGGAGUUCUUCAAAGUCUCCUUUCAAGAACCCCAACAAAGGGGAUGAGAUGGAAAGUGACUGGCCUGCUUCAUCUUCUCACUAUUUCAUUCACAAAUUAAAUCCACUGCUGUAAGGUCAAACUCAGCACAGGUAACUUCGUUCCCACAUUUUCUUAUUCAUUCAGUCCAACCUCAGCCCAGACUUUUGAGAUGUAUCAGUUAGGUCUUUUUGUUUGGACUUAUUCAAUUUGUCUGUCUGGUUCUCUUGCACAUAUCUGGAACAUUCAUUUUUGAAUGACCUACUUUUAAUCAUCCAUUCCCAAGCAGGCAAAAAUUCUAGGCCCAGUUGUCACAACCCUACUCAGCACCUCUGAGUAGUAGGCCCUAAAUCUUGAGCAUUAUGUAGCACCCCUCCGGUUAACUGAGCUUUGUCCAGAGAGGCUCCUUCUUAUCUCCUGACCCCAUGCAUUCAUAGCACAAAGCAGGGUUUGGCCACUAUGUUCCUUUGACAUGGUUAAUUGUCUCUCAGCCGUGGAUAGCUAACGAUCAAUAGGGAGCUAAACUCAUGGCUCCUCCAGAUCUCUCAUGGCAAUUUGU